AUUAUGGAGAGUUUGAUCCUGGCUCAGAGUGAACGCUGGCGGCGUGCCUAACACAUGCAAGUCGAACGAUGAAGUCUAGCUUGCUAGACGGAUUAGUGGCGCACGGGUGAGUAAUGUAUAGCUAACUUGCCCCUUACAAGAGGACAACAGCUAGAAAUGGCUGCUAAUACUCUAUACUCCGCUUUAACAUAAGUUAAGGUGGGAAAGUUUUUCGGUAAGGGAUAGGGCUAUAUUGUAUCAGCUAGUUGGUAAGGUAAUGGCUUACCAAGGCUAUGACGCAUAUCUGGUCUUAGAGGAUGAUCAGACACACUGGAACUGAGACACGGUCCAGACUCCUACGGGAGGCAGCAGUGGGGAAUAUUGCUCAAUGGGCGAAAGCCUGAAGCAGCAACGCCGCGUGGAGGAUGACACUUUUCGGAGCGUAAACUCCUUUUUUACAAGAAGAAUACUGACUGUAUUGUAAGAAUAAGCACCGGCUAACUCCGUGCCAGCAGCCGCGGUAAUACGGAGGGUGCAAGCGUUACUCGGAAUCACUGGGCGUAAAGGGCGCGUAGGCGGAUUAUCAAGUCUUUUGUGAAAUCUAAUGGCUUAACCAUUAAACUGCUUAAGAAACUGAUAGUCUAGAGUAAGGGAGAGGCAGAUGGAAUUAGUAGUGUAGGGGUAAAAUCCGUAGAUAUUACUAAGAAUGCCAAUUGCGAAAGCGAUCUGCUAGAACUUAACUGACGCUAAGGCGCGAAAGCGUGGGGAGCAAACAGGAUUAGAUACCCUGGUAGUCCACGCCCUAAACGAUGUAUGCUAGUUGUUGGAAUGCUAGUCAUUUCAGUAAUGCAGCUAACGCAUUAAGCAUACCGCCUGGGGAGUACGGUCGCAAGAUUAAAACUCAAAGGAAUAGACGGGGACCCGCACAAGCGGUGGAGCAUGUGGUUUAAUUCGAUUCUACGCGAAGAACCUUACCUAGGCUUGAUAUCUAUGGAACCUUUUAGAGAUAAGAGGGUGCUAGCUUGCUAGAACCAUAAGACAGGUGCUGCACGGCUGUCGUCAGCUCGUGUCGUGAGAUGUUGGGUUAAGUCCCGCAACGAGCGCAACCCACGUAUUUAGUUGCUAACAGUUUGGCUGAGCACUCUAAAUAGACUGCCUUCGCAAGGAGGAGGAAGGUGUGGACGACGUCAAGUCAUCAUGGCCCUUAUGCCUAGGGCUACACACGUGCUACAAUGGCAUAUACAAUGAGACGCAAUAUCGCGAGAUGGAGCAAAUCUAUAAAAUAUGUCCUAGUUCGGAUUGUUCUCUGCAACUCGAGAGCAUGAAGCCGGAAUCGCUAGUAAUCGUAAAUCAGCUAUGUUACGGUGAAUACGUUCCCGGGUCUUGUACUCACCGCCCGUCACACCAUGGGAGUUGAUUGUGCUUUAAGCCAGAAUACUAAAAUAGUUACUGUCCACAGCAAAAUCAGCGACUGGGGUGAAGUCGUAACAAGGUAACCGUAGGAGAACCUGCGGUUGGAUCACCUCCUUUCUA
rnacentral:rRNA from 1 species